rnacentral:rRNA from 1 species
GGAAUUUUGGACAGUGGGGGAAACCCUGAUCCAGCCAUGCCGCGUGAGUGAAGAAGGCCUUCGGGUUGUAAAGCUCUUUCAGCCGGAACGAAACGGUCACGGCUAAUACCUGUGAUCACUGACGGUACCGGAAGAAGAAGCACCGGCUAACUACGUGCCAGCAGCCGCGGUAAUACGUAGGGGGCGAGCGUUAAGCUGAAUUACUGGGCGUAAAGCGUGCGCAGGCGGUUUUGUAAGUCAGAUGUGAAAUCCCCGGGCUUAACCUGGGAACUGCGUUUGAAACUACAAGGCUAGAGUGUAGCAGAGGGGGGUGGAAUUCCACGUGUAGCAGUGAAAUGCGUAGAGAUGUGGAGGAACACCGAUGGCGAAGGCAGCCCCCUGGGUUAACACUGACGCUCAGGCACGAAAGCGUGGGGAGCAAA